CCUACGGGAGGCAGCAGUGAGGAAUAUUGGUCAAUGGACGAGAGUCUGAACCAGCCAAGUAGCGUGAAGGAUGACUGCCCUAUGGGUUGUAAACUUCUUUUAUAUGGGAAUAAACCAUGGUAUGCAUACCCUCUUGUAUGUACCAUAUGAAUAAGGAUCGGCUAACUCCGUGCCAGCAGCCGCGGUAAUACGGAGGAUCCGAGCGUUAUCCGGAUUUAUUGGGUUUAAAGGGAGCGUAGGUGGAUUGUUAAGUCAGUUGUGAAAGUUUGCGGCUCAACCGUAAAAUUGCAGUUGAAACUGGCAGGCUUGAGUACAGUAGAGGUGGGCGGAAUUCGUGGUGUAGCGGUGAAAUGCUUAGAUAUCACGAAGAACUCCGAUUGCGAAGGCAGCUCACUGGACUGCAACUGACACUGAUGCUCGAAAGUGUGGGUAUCAAACAGGAUUAGAUACCCCGGUAGUC
rnacentral:rRNA from 1 species